UAUUAGCUUGUCCCAUUAUGGCUCC
rnacentral:piRNA from 1 species